CCAACGACAACGUAUUCACCGUCAACUAUAACGGAACUAAAGUUACUAUCACCGCCACCGGCUUUGCCUCCGUCGUCGAAGGAUGGAUCAAUUCCACGCUCUUCCGCGGCAGCAACUACCUCUGCCCGCGUCUACUCAUCGCUGGCCUCGCCACCGAUCCUCCGUAAACGCAUUGCGUUUGUCACCAAUGCCUAAUUUUCAUCUCUCUCACGCCGAUCACAUUCCGGUAAGUCUCCGUAACCGUCCUCGGAUUCAAAGUUGAGCAUAGAUAAGAUAUCGGAAUGAGUAAUUGGAACAAAAUCUCAGCGGUGAUCGAAUUGAUUAUGCUUGCGUUGAAGCUUGGAGGAAUCUCAGAAGUGCUUUUGAAAAAACCUUUAAAUUCAAAUGCUUUCAAAUUAAUUUCUGCAUCAAGAAGCUGACAAUGUAGAGCAGAGAAUUUUUACAAGAAAUCUAAAGAAGCAUGUGAAUAUAAUAGAGGUGGAAUCAAUCAAACAUUACUGGAGGGGGAAAUAGAGAUAUAUCUACAGUUAGCUGUCUGAUCAGUAAAAAAUGGCCAACACAACAUUGGAACUCCAGCACAUAUGCUCUCGGUGGUUGAGUUCCAUCCACAAUGAGUUAGGAAUCCACCGAUUGAAGGG